GACGAACGCUGGCGGCGUGCUUAACACAUGCAAGUCGAACGAAGUGGCGAACGGGUGAGUAACGCGUAAUAAACCUGCCCUUCAGAGGGGGAAAACAGUGGGAAAGGACUGCUAAUACCGCAUACUGAAGGAGGGGAUGGCGUCUGAUCAGCUAGUUGGAGGGGUAACGGCCCACUCAGGCGAUGAUCAGUAGCCGGGCUGGCAGGCUUAACUGCCACACUGGGACUGGGUCACGGCCCAGGCUCCUACGGGAGGCAGCCGUUGGGGAUCUUCCGCAAUGGACGGAAGUCUGACGGUGCACCGCCGCGUGAGUGAUGACUGCCUUCGGGUUUUUAAGCUCUGUUAAUCGGGACGCGUUACCGGAAUAGAAAGCCACGGCUAACUCCGUGCCAGCAGCCGCGGUAAUUC
rnacentral:rRNA from 1 species